ACACGGCGAAUUAUAGAAUAACAAAAUAUCUAUAUAUAAAUAAAAUCCCAGUGUCCCGAUUAACGUGGAAAUAUACAUGUAUUUAAACACAUUCAUAGGUGUACUAUAACGUAGAGUAGAAUCGCGCGAUUUUAUCUAGGAAUGCAACCACCAUGUUCAUAAAAAAAACCUUGAAUUUACAUAUCCAGCCGCCAGAGCUUAUACCCGAAAAGAAGAACGUACUUUCUUCGAGAACGUCACGUCUGCACGCCCCGGCGCGGUUCACCGGCGUCCCGACGCUCUUCCCGUUUCAACCGCCU
rnacentral:misc_RNA from 1 species